rnacentral:rRNA from 1 species
GACAAAAAAUAACGAUACGGGACUCAUCCGAGGCCCCGUAAUCGGAAUGAGAACAUCCUAAAUCCUUUAACGAGGAUCUAUUGGAGGGCAAGUCUGGUGCCAGCAGCCGCGGUAAUUCCAGCUCCAAUAGCGUAUAUUAAAGUUGUUGCGGUUAAAAAGCUCGUAGUUGGUUCUGCGUGCCACGCUGUCGGUUCACCGCCUGUCGGUGCAACUGGCAUGCCGUGGCAUGUCCUGUCGGUGGCGGAUAGGCUUCGUGGCGCUCCCUACGCGAUACGUCUCGUAGGUCGUCGCGUCGUCCUUGUACGCCGGCUCAAUCCUACCGCGGUGCUCUUUACCGAGUGUCGAGGUAGGCCGACACAUUUUACUUUGAACAAAUUAGAGUGCUUAAAGCAGGCUCUUAAAUCAGCCUGAAUAGUGGUGCAUGGAAUAAUGGAACAGGACCUUGGUUCUAUUUUGUUGGUUUUAGGAAUCCAAGGUAAUGAUCAAUAAGGACAGGCGGGGGCAUUCGUAUUGCGACGUUAGAG